UACAGAGGUCUCAAGCGUUGUUCGGAUUCAUUGGGCGUAAAGGGCGCGUAGGUGGCGCCAUAAGUCAGGUGUGAAAUCUCGGGGCUCAACUCCGAAACUGCACUUGAUACUGUGGUGCUCGAGUACUGGAGAGGAGAUUGGAAUUUACGGUGUAGCAGUGAAAUGCGUAGAUAUCGUAAGGAAGACCAGUGGCGAAGGCGAAUCUCUGGACAGUUACUGACACUGAGGCACGAAGGCCAGGGGAGCAAACGGG
rnacentral:rRNA from 1 species